GCUCUGGGAGUGCUCAGGUGCCUCCUAGGGGGUCCCCUGGAGGGAUACCCCUGGCGCUCUCUGUCUACCCAGGUACACGCUGAGUGACCUCCAGGUCCCUGGGUUGCUGCCGCCCCACCGUGAUGCAGUACCUCUCAGAGCGCUGUGAUAGCAUGGUUGUCUCACUGGUCCCGUCCCCAUCCAACAACCCCAGAAGGCAGAGGAGGGCGACCCUGAUGGAGAGGAGGUCGGGGGAAUACAACGGUGAGCAGAUAAGGCCCUGCCCUCCAGCUAUCACGGUGGUGGUAGUCCGAAUAACGGCCCCUCAAAGAUACCCACAUCCUAAUCCCUGGAACCUGUGUAUAUGUUACCUUACGUGGUAAAAGGGACUUUGCCGAUGUGAGUAAAUUAGGGAUCUUGAGGUGGGAGAUUAUCCUGGAUAAUCUGGGCCCAGCCUAAUCACAGCUCCUUUUAGGAGGGAGGCAAGAGGGUCAGAGUCAGAGAGAGAAGAUGUGAUGAUGGAAGCAGAGGUCACAGGGAAGAGGAGAUGCAGCCCUGCUGGCUUUGAAGAUGGAGGAAGGGGCCGCGAGCCAAGGAAUGCAGGCGGCCUCCAGAGGCUGGGAAAGGAGGGAUGAGGAUUCUCCCUGACAGCUUCCAGAAGAAACACGGCCCUGCAGCCCCAUGUGAGACUUCAGACUC